AUUGAACGCUGGCGGCAGGCCUAACACAUGCAAGUCGAACGAGUGGCGGACGGGUGAGUUAUGUCUGGGCAACUGCCUGAUGGAGGGGGAUAACUACUGGAAACGGUUGCUAAUACCGCAUACCAUCGGAUGUGCCCAGUUGGGAUUAGCUAGUGGGGGGGGUAACGGCUCACCUAGGCGACGAUCCCUAGCUGGUCUGAGAGGAUGACCAGCCACACUGGAACUGAGACACGGUCCAGACUCGUACGGGAGGCAGCAGUGGGGAAUAUUGGACAAUGGGCGCAAGCCUGAUGCAGCCAUGCCGCGUGUGUGAAGAAGGUCUUCGGGUUGUAAAGUACUGUAAGCGGGGAGGCGUUACCCGAAGAAGAAGCACCGGCUAACUCCGUGCCAGCAGCCGCGGUAAUAC
rnacentral:rRNA from 1 species